AAAAAAAUCGAAUCACGCUCGAGCUCUCUGAGAGCACGGUAUAACUAAAUUGACUUGUACCCGCUGUGGAACGAUAUUUCCCGAACUCUUCACAGCACUGAAGAAGAAUUCACGAACUGACGUUGCGAAAAUUACGAGUUACAGUUGUUGGGUCUGGAAAAAGCUGAUGAAAAAAUAAUUGUAAAAUAAAAAAGUGAAAUAAUGGACGCAUGGAAAGAGGGUUCGAAAAUACAUCAGAAUGCAAAACAGAAAUCUGGAGAUUGAUCUCGAGAGAAUAUAGAAGCCAAAUAUACUUAACGAAGACCGCAUCAUCUGGAGAAUAUGACAUACCGGAAGCCUCUUAGAUCGCCUUUUGGAUAGAUGUUUCAUUAUACUUCUAAGGACUUUGAGUAUUGUUUGGAACUAUAAAUUCAAAGAGACCCGAACAGGAAUUUUAGAUAAUUUCGUUUACUGGGGAGUAUAAAUUAUAAUUGAUACCAAAUUCAAUUUAGAAUUACCUUGACAACUAGCGCUACUUUGGACUAAGUAAGCUUCCACGGCAAUGAAAUGUCUACAUAAGCUCCCACGACAGUCGGGUCUUCGUAACCGGAAUGGACUCAAAAAAAAGCUGGCUUUGGUGUUAGGUUGAGAUUCGAUUCUAUACAAAGCAUUUAAAAUAUAUCAACUAAACUUGAAAAAUAUUUUUUUGUGAUGGUCUCGGGCACUUUUUCAAAAAUCAGAAGACAAUUUAUAUUUCCAGCAUUGUCACAAUUUUAUUUCAGAAGAAAUAUAGCCAUUGGUCUAUUAUAGAAGAGGAUGAUCAAGAAAAUGACAUUUAACAGAUUAUUUAGAGAAGACCUUCGGCAAGACCGUUCAGUCAAGAAAGAUGAAUUUGGAACAAUAUUCAGUCUUAAAUAUGUAUGGAUCAAUAAAGUCUUUGGCUUGCGAACCACAGACGCAAAUUUUUCCUGAGUAUAAGAGGUGUAAAAUAUAUAAUGAAGAAUAUUCGCACUGCCAAUGUCGAUAAUUGGAAUUUAACACAGAUCUAGUGGAGUGUCGAAUACUCUAAGCCCCUGGGUUGCAAACUUCGGCGAGCGCAGAGUUGAUUUAAAUGAAAUUUCGUCGAUGUUUCAGUGUUCUGUGCGGCAGAAGGUUGAAAAACCGUUGCCAAGAUAAUCUGGACUACGCGAUCGGUAUGGAUCUGGAGUUUUAUCCAUCUGAGGAAUGUCAACUCGACUGCAUUUCUCAAAAUUACUUGUCGAAACACAAAUCAUAAAAUUGACUCAACAAAAAUAAUGAACUUUUUUUGUCUCGGUCCGUGCUGGUCCAUUUCAACAAACCGAAUAUAUGAGUAAUAAUGGCUUUAUUAAACUUUCUUCCAGUAAUGAAUAGGCCUAAAAUUAUAUAAGGAAAAAUCUAUAUUUUUUCAUACCUCAAUCUCCGUAUAAGCGUCUGAUUCCAAUGAUUUAUACUACAAAAUCUUUCAUCGCUUUUUUUCUUCUG